GACGAACGCUGGCGGCGCGCCUAACACAUGCAAGUCGAACGAGCGAGAGAGAGCUUGCUUUCUCGAGCGAGUGGCGAACGGGUGAGUAACGCGUGAGGAACCUGCCUUGGAGUGGGGAAUAACACAGUGAAAAUUGUGCUAAUACCGCAUAAUGCAGUUGGGCCGCAUGGCUCUGACUGCCAAAGAUUUAUCGCUCUGAGAUGGCCCUCGCGUCUGAUUAGCUAGUUGGUGGGGUAACGGCCCACCGAAGGCGACGAUCAGUAGCCGGACUGAGAGGUUGGCCGGCCACAUUGGGGCUGAGACACGGGCCCAGACUCCUACGGGAGGCAGCAGUGGGGAAUAUUGGGCAAUGGGCGCAAGCCUGACCCAGCAACGCC
rnacentral:rRNA from 1 species